rnacentral:rRNA from 1 species
UACGAAGGGGGCGAGCGUUGUUCGGAUUUACUGGGCGUAAAGGGCGCGCAGGCGGCUUAUUUUGUCAGGCGUGAAAGCCCCGGGCUUAACCUGGGAACUGCGUUUGAUACGGAUGGGCUAGAGUUCGGGAGAGGAGAGUGGAAUUCCCAGUGUAGAGGUGAAAUUCGUGAGAUAUUGGGAAGAACACCGGUGGCGAAGGCGGCUCUCUGGACCGAGACUGAGCGCGUGAGGCGCGAAAGCGUGGG